AGGACACGCUGGCGGCGUGCCUAACACAUGCAAGUCGAGCGGAGUCGAUCGACGGAAGCCUUCGGGCGGAAGAUGGUUGACUUAGCGGCGGAUGGGUGAGUAACGCGUGGGCAACCUGCCUCGAAGACCGGGAUAACAGCCCGAAAGGGCUGCUAAUACCGGAUGUGGUCAAGGAUCCGCAUGGAUUUUGAUUAAAGGGGAAACCCGUUUCGAGAUGGGCCCGCGUCCUAUCAGCUAGUUGGUGAGGUAAAAGCUCACCAAGGCGACGACGGGUAGCCGGCCUGAGAGGGUGACCGGCCACACUGGAACUGAGACACGGUCCAGACUCCUACGGGGGGCAGCAGUGGGGAAUCUUCCACAAUGGGCGAAAGCCUGAUGGAGCGACGCCGCGUGAGCGAAGAAGGCCUUCGGGUUGUAAAGCUCUGUCUGGAGGGACGAAGGAAGUGACGGUACCUCCGGAGGAAGCCACGGCUAACUACGUG
rnacentral:rRNA from 1 species